UAACAUGGGCCAUUUUCUGCUUGACGGUUUUGAAGAUUUUUAAGUUGUGUGGCUCUUAAAUCGAAGUCCAGCUUGUCUUCAAAGGAUGAUGGCUGGAAAUGCAAAGUAGGAAUGUUUAUUUUGAGUGAAGGAAUGGAUGAAUGACUAUUGGACACAGGCAAUUUAGCCACCGCAACAAACGUUCCAGGAUAUUUUUUAAAAACGUAAAGUGCUGAAUUCUGACUCAUCUCCUAAAGACAAAAGCCUUCUUCUUCCUGAAUACGGUUGGGGAAAAUCUCUUCCUCUCUAUGUAAGCAGCCCAGGUCACACUCAAGAUCAUGGAAAAGAGCUGAUAGUCUGGAACAAUGUGAAGAAAGUUGGCGGACAAGAGAGAACAGAUGAAAUGAAAUGCCAGGAAAAGUUUUCACACUAGAAAUUUGAAGCAGCUUUGUAUGAGUCUAUGAGAUAAAUCCUGGUCUAAAAUGUCAAUAUGAACUUCUUUUUCUUUUCUUUUUUUUGCUUUCUUUCAUUUUUCCAUCUUGAGAAAAUAUAUAUCUUUAUUUAUAGUAUGAGAUGUGGUCAAUAAAGCAUCCUACUGAAUGUCUGGCUAUAAUCCAUAUUUUAGAAAAAAGAGCUUUGUUCUAAAAUGUUGACACCAAAAUGUCUAAAGUAGUUUGUAGAGAAUUUCCUGUUGGUGA